AGGACGAACGCUUGCGGCGUGCCUAAUGUAUGCAAGUCGAGCGGGGAGCAAUCCCAGCGGCGAACGGUUGAGUAACACGUAGGCAACCUGCCGCGAAGUGGGGGACAACCCAUGGAAACGUGGGCUAAUACCGCAUGUGGCCGGAGAUCGAGUGGUCUCUGUGCUAAAGGAGUAAUCCGCUUCGCGAGGGGCCUGCGGCCUAUCAGCUUGUUGGUGGGGUGAUGGCCUACCAAGGCGGUGACGGGUA
rnacentral:rRNA from 1 species